rfam:Schistosoma haematobium scaffold118_4, whole genome shotgun sequence.
AUCCAUCUGACGAGUCCCGAAUAGGAUGGAACGCGCGGCCUGGAU